AAAGAACCCAAAAAGGAGGGAAAAGUCAGAGCAAGAGCAGCCAUUAGACUUCUUUCAGGCUUCAUCUGGAUUUUGGACUCUGGAGUUGGAGAAACUGCCUUCAAAUUUCCGUGUGCAGAGCAAUGGCCAAGCAAAGGAAAGACUUCCCUGAGUGAAAAAGAAGAUGAAGAUGCAAGCUGGUGAUGAUCCAGAGCAGCUGGUCUCAGGAAAUGAAGAAAAACCCUGAUCACCUUUUCCACAGAAACAAGAAUAAAUUACGACUAGUCUCAAUGGCUGAGAUGGAGGAGCAACACAGCGACACGUUAACCCGACUGCUGAAGUUCCCGUAUGAACUGAGCAACUCUAAAAUCCAAGGAAAAGCUGAGUGUAUUUUAUUUAAAGCUCAGAUGGACCUUGAUGGACUAACAUGCAGGCUGCAUUCAGGACUUUGUCACACUGGUAUAUGAAG
ensembl:lncRNA